rnacentral:rRNA from 1 species
UACGAAGGGUGCAAGCGUUAAUCGGAAUUACUGGGCGUAAAGCGUGCGUAGACGGCCUGUUAAGUCGGAUGUGAAAGCCCCGGGCUCAACCUGGGAAUGGCAUCCGAUACUGGUGGGCUAGAGUGCGGUAGAGGAGAGCGGAAUUCCCGGUGUAGCGGUGAAAUGCGUAGAGAUCGGGAGGAACAUCCGUGGCGAAGGCGGCUCUCUGGACCAGCACUGACGUUGAGGCACGAAAGCGUGGGGAGCAAACAGG